rnacentral:rRNA from 1 species
GAUGAACGCUGGCGGCGUGCCUAACACAUGCAAGUCGAGCGAUUCUCUUCGGAGAAGAGCGGCGGACGGGUGCGUAACGCAUGGGUAACCUGCCCUGUACACACGGAUAACAUACCGAAAGGUAUGCUAAUACGAGAUAAUAUGCUUUUAUCGCAUGGUAGAAGUAUCAAAGCUUUUGCGGUACAGGAUGGACCCGCGUCUGAUUAGCUAGUUGGUAAGGUAACGGCUUACCAAGGCGACGAUCAGUAGCCGACCUGAGAGGGUGAUCGGCCACAUUGGAACUGAGACACGGUCCAAACUCCUACGGGAGGCAGCAGUGGGGAAUAUUGCACAAUGGGCGAAAGCCUGAUGCAGCAACGCCGCGUGAGCGAUGAAGGCCUUUGGGUCGUAAAGUUCUGUCCUCAAGGAAGAUAAUGACGGUACUUGAGGAGGAAGCCCCGGCUAACUACGUG